AAGACGUGCGCAGGCGGUUAUGUAAGACAGUUGUGAAAUCCCCGGGCUCAACCUGGGAACUGCAUCUGUGACUGCAUAGCUAGAGUACGGUAGAGGGGGAUGGAAUUCCGCGUGUAGCAGUGAAAUGCGUAGAUAUGCGGAGGAACACCGAUGGCGAAGGCAAUCCCCUGGACCUGUACUGACGCUCAUGCACGAAAGCGUGGGGAGCAAACAGGAUUAGAUACCCCAGU
rnacentral:rRNA from 1 species